UCGAACGGAGUGCUUUCGGGUACUUAGUGGCGGACGGGUGAGUAACGCGUGAGAAUCUAGCUACAGGAUGGGGACAACAACUGGAAACGGUUGCUAAUACCCGAUGUGCCGAGAGGUGAAAGAUUGUAUCGCCUGUAGAAGAGCUCGCGUCCGAUUAGCUAGUUGGUGGAGUAAUGGUUCACCAAGGCGACGAUCGGUAACUGGUCUGAGAGGAUGAUCAGUCACACUGGAACUGAGAGACGAUCCAGACUCCUACGGGAGGCAGCAGUGGGGAAUUUUCCGCAAUGGGCGCAAGCCUGACGGAGCAAGACCGCGUGGGGGAAGAAGGUUUGUGGAUUGUAAACCCCUUUUAUCAGGGAAGAAGUUCUGACGGUACCUGAUGAAUAAGCCUCGGCUAACUCCGUGCCAGCAGCCGCGGUAAUACGGAGGAGGCAAGCGUUA
rnacentral:rRNA from 1 species